CGUCGAUCGACCGCGACUGAAAAGUUUGGCUACAUCGUGCGGUUCAGCAACUGGCACAACUAUCAGAUUCCCAUCUAGAACGUGACAGACCAGUUAGUGUAGAUCCGCUUUGUUCGAACAUGGCGACCUGUGGCAGUAAGAAGCACGUUGCAUCAACAUCUACCGUCGCCGGAACAUCUGACUGGCCAGGUCGAGGGCAACUGCAUGCAGAACCACCACCAAUCGCCGAGCCAUGGUCCGACAAGGAGGCGCGAACCUCAUCCGUAGCCAGUCAGCCAGACUGGAUUGGCUGAAGACUCGGAAAAGCUGGCCUGCGAGGAACCGAGGGAGGUUGGGUCGAAGAUGAGCCAGUUGGUGCACUUCUGUACGAGAAAGAUUACAUCGUCGAUGCUGAGGAAAUCGGAAGGAGGACAUUCAGAAGAUGUUGUCCAAGCUUGUCGAGUAAAAGGAGGAACAGGAUUGUUGUGCUUCUCGUAGAGAAACGAAUCAAUUACGCAGUAGACAGCUGAAUAAAUAAUCCAUUUCUGCUGAGAAGUUUUUAUUUGUAUUAUUAAAGAAAGUGAAUCCUGUGUCUGAAAUAAAAUAUACUGAGAAAAAAAACUAAA